rnacentral:lncRNA from 10 species
GUUUAUUUUGAAUGAAACGGGAUCUUACACUCAAUGAGCGGUAGGUUUAGUUGUGCUUUACUGUUUGAUUUUGCAUCUGUAUGCCUGCAUAUAUCCUCUACAAGAGAUAUUCUAUCUCUGUUAGAAAUUUAUUUUCUCCAUUUAUUAACAAAAGACUAAUAUAUAUUGAGACUAUCAUAACUUUGCUGCUUUUAUAGAUGCUAUUCUAAAAAUGUGAAAUAUGCCUUUGAACUGAAUUGGAAACUUUUAUUUUAUUUUUUAUUUUUAUUUUUGAGACAGAGCCUCACUCUGUCACCCAGGCGCGAUCUCGGCUUACUGAGAACUCUGCCUCCUGGGUUGACGCCAUUCUCCUGCCUCAACCUCUACUACUACAGGCAUGGUGGCAGGCACCUGUAGUCCCAGCUAAUCAGGAGGCUGAGGCAGGAGAAUGGCAUGAACCCGGGAGGCGGAGCUUGCAAUGAGCCCAGAUGGCGCCACUGCACUCCAGCCUGGGUAACAGAAUGAGACUCCGCCUCA